rnacentral:ncRNA from 2 species
UUACGCUCGCGCGCUGAUGGUUCCCGGCGACGGGAUCAAAAGGGAACGCAGUAACGGCGCGCGCGCCGGAAGUCUGCGGCUGUCCCCGCAACUGUGAGCGGCGAGUCCAUGCCAGCGAGGGCCACUGGGAAACCGGGAAGGCCGGCAUCGGGCGACGACCCGCGAGCCAGGAGACCUGCCAUCGACCGAGGUCCAAG